UUGUCCUGGCCUAUGCUUUUUCUACUCCCCUCUGCUUUUUUGUCCCCUGUGCUCAGUUCUAACAAAGUAGUCUGGCAGGCACACACACAGUCUCCUUCAGUUAGGAGGACUGUCUUUAGAAUAGAGCUGUCUCAAGACAAGAGUACAAU
rnacentral:snoRNA from 1 species